rnacentral:lncRNA from 1 species
CUGUCAGCAGCCAAUGUGCAUGAAUCCAUGUGGAGCUGAUCAUUAAGAACAUGGGUGCAGAACUUUCUAUAACAUUGGGCAGGACUUUAGAUGUACCUUCCAACAUGGCUGACCGUAAAACAUUUCGUUUAAUUAAAAUUUUAUGGGAUUCCCUCUCCAUCUAGGCAGUUGACCACAUUGACCUUCAUAACGUGCAUGGAAGAAUCAAAUAACUUGAUAUUUCUAUUAAGAGCCAACAU